GACUUGGAAGACAGUCACCAAGAGAAAGGGAUGGAGGAGGAGGCAAAGGAAGAAGAGCCAGUUGCUCAGCUAAAGGAAUAGUGGAAGGACAAGUCUGGCAAGGACUUGGAAGGUAGUCAUCAGAAGAAAGGGAUGGAGGAGAAGGUAAGAAGAAGAGCCCGUUGCUCAGCUGAAGGAAGAGAGAAUGGUCAAAUGGAAGUCAAGUGCCAAGAAGACCUCAGCCGAACGUGACACAGGUCCCUCUGUGGCAUUCUCUUUGGAUAAAUACCAAAACAGGGCAGCAGUAAUUCAACUCUUACAGGAGGAACUUCUCAAUAGUCUACUUCACCCCUCAGGAAUGGCAGAGGACAUCUGAUUCUUUAUCCUCACCAAUUUCAUGAGUAAUCUCACUGAUAGGUCCAGUG